rnacentral:rRNA from 1 species
AUUGAACGCUGGCGGCAGGCCUAACACAUGCAAGUCGAGCGGCAGCGGGAAAGUAGCUUGCUACUUUUGCCGGCGAGCGGCGGACGGGUGAGUAAUGCCUGGGGAUCUGCCCAGUCGAGGGGGAUAACUACUGGAAACGGUAGCUAAUACCGCAUACGCCCUACGGAGGAAAGCAGGGGACCUUCGGGCCUUGCGCGAUUGGAUGAACCCAGGUGGGAUUAGCUAGUUGGUGAGGUAAUGGCUCACCAAGGCGACGAUCCCUAGCUGGUCUGAGAGGAUGAUCAGCCACACUGGAACUGAGACACGGUCCAGACUCCUACGGGAGGCAGCAGUGGGGAAUAUUGCACAAUGGGGGAAACCCUGAUGCAGCCAUGCCGCGUGUGUGAAGAAGGCCUUCGGGUUGUAAAGCACUUUCAGCGAGGAGGAAAGGUUGGUAGCUAAUAACUGCCAGCUGUGACGUUACUCGCAGAAGAAGCACCGGCUAACUCCGUG